GUUAAACAUGUAUAGAUUAUGGACGUAGUUUAACUAGCAAUAUACAUCUAAAUAUGAUCUGCUCCAAAUCUAUUUUUAAAAUGUGAAGUGGUUCGUCCUCGUACCUAGACUUACAUAUAUCCGUAGAUACACUAGGAAGUUAAACCCACAGAAUAGCAAUACACUUAUUGUUUCUGUAUCCUUAUAAAACAUAAAAAUGUAUAUAUUUCGUAAUUUCUGAUAGGGGUAAGGUCAUUAUAUAAUAUAACCCCCUGAAAGAAAUUGACGAGUUAGGCGAACGAUAACCUAGUAAUAUUCAGGACAAACGAACAACGACACUGCACAAAAUAAAAAUAACGACAAAAAGACAAACAAAAAUCUAAUAGAAAAACUAUAGACUGAAC
rnacentral:lncRNA from 1 species